AUUGAACGCUGGCGGAAUGCUUUACACAUGCAAGUCGAACGGCAGCACGGGGCAACCUGGUGGCGAGUGGCGAACGGGUGAGUAAUACAUCGGAACGUGCCCAGUCGUGGGGGAUAACGUAGCGAAAGUUACGCUAAUACCGCAUACGAUCUAAGGAUGAAAGCGGGGGAUCGCAAGACCUCGCGCGAUUGGAGCGGCCGAUGUCAGAUUAGGUAGUUGGUGGGGUAAAGGCCCACCAAGCCGACGAUCUGUAGCUGGUCUGAGAGGACGACCAGCCACACUGGGACUGGGACACGGCCCAGACUCCUAGGGGAGGCAGCAGUGGGGAAUUUUGGACAAUGGGCGCAAGCCUGAUCCAGCCAUUCCGCGUGCAGGAUGAAGGCCUUCGGGUUGUAAACUGCUUUUGUACGGAGCGAAAAGGCUCUCUCUAAUACAGGGGGCUAAUGACGGUACCGUAAGAAUAAGCACCGGCUAACUACGUGCCAGCCGCCGCCGUAAUAC
rnacentral:rRNA from 1 species